rnacentral:tRNA from 2 species
GCCGGGGUGGCGGAGUGGUUAUCGCGCCAGCCUCGAGAGCUGGUGGGCUUCGCGCCCGCAGGGGUUCGAGUCCCUUCCCCGGCGCCA